CUUAAGCCAUGCAAGUCUUCGUACAAACUGCAUUAAAGUGAAACCGCAAAAGGCUCAGUAAACCAGUCAUGAUUUACGUGAGUAAACGUGACUGUCUUUGGAUAACUGUGGUAAUCCUAGAGCUAAUACAUGCAAUCAAGUCCCGACCAGUUUUACUGGGAAGGACGCUUUUAUUAGAUCAAGACCAAUCGCCCGGUUUCGGCCGGGCGUUGCCUUGGUGACUCUAGGUAACACAUCAGAUCGCACGGUCUCGCACCGGCGACUCAUCCUUCAAAUGCCUGACUUAUCAACUUACGAUGGUAGAUUCCAUGUCUACCAUGGUGAUAACGGGUAACGGGGAAUCAGGGUUCGAUUCCGGAGAGGGAGCCUGAGAAAUGGCUACCACAUCCAAGGAAGGCAGCAGGCACGCAAAUUACCCACUCCCGGCACGGGGAGGUAGUGACAAAAAAUAACGAUACGGGCUACUGGCAUGUCGUGGCAUGUCCUGUCGGUGGGUGUCCGGAGCCCCGUGCGGGCGGCAGGAGGCCGGGCGCAAGCCCGCGUUCCUCCCUGCACGUCGGCGGGUUCACUUCGGCUCCCUACUAUCCUACCUAGGUGCUCUUCACCGAGUGUCGAGGUAGGCCGACACGUUUACUUUGAACAAAUCAGAGUGCUUAAAGCAGGCUGAAAAAUUCUGCCUGAAUGAUGGCGCAUGGAAUAAUAAAACAGGACCUUGGUUCUAUUUUGUUGGUUCUUAGGAACACAAGGUAAUGAUCAAUACGGACAGGCGGGGGCAUUCGUAUUGCGGGGUUAGAGGUGAAAUUCUUGGAUCCUCGCAAGACGACCGAGAGCGAAAGCAUUUGCCAAGUAUGUCUCGAUUGAUCAAGAACGAAAGUUAGAGGUUCGAAGGCGAUCAGAUACCGCCCUAGUUCUAACCAUAAACGAUGCCAGCCAGCGAUCCGUCGAUGUUCCUCCGAUGACUCGACGGGGAGCUUCCCCCCGGGAAACCAAAGCUUUUGGGUUCCGGGGGAAGUAUGGUUGCAAAGCUGAAACUUAAAGGAAUUGACGGAAGGGCACCACCAGGAGUGGAGCCUGCGGCUUAAUUUGACUCAACACGGGAAACCUCACCAGGUCAGGACAUUGUAAGGAUUGACAGAUUGAUAGCUCUUUCUUGAUUCAGUGGGUAGUGGUGCAUGGCCGUUCUUAGUUGGUGGAUCGAUUUGUCUGGUUAAUUCCGAUAACGAACGAGACUCUAGCCUAUUAACUAGACGGUCCCAGAGCCCUCGUCUUUGGCGAAAAUGACUCUUCUUAAGGGGACAGGCGGCUUAUAGUCGCACGAGAUUGAGCAAUAACAGGUCUGUGAUGCCCUUAGAUGUCCUGGGCCGCACGCGCGCUACAAUGAAAGAAUCAGCGUGUGUCUCCCAGCCCGAUAGGGCCGGGUAAUCCGCUGAACCUCUUUCGUGCUUGGGAUUGUGGCUUGCAAUUGUUCUUCAUGAACGAGGAAUUCCCAGUAAGCGCGAGUCAUAAGCUCGCGUUGAUUACGUCCCUGCCCUUUGUACACACCGCCCGUCGCUACUACCGAUUGAAUGAUUUAGUGAGGUCUUCGGACCGGCGGGAAAUCCCUAUCGCUUACGCGGUAUCGACGAACGCUGGGAAGAUGACCAAACUUGAUCAUUUAGAGGAAGUAAAAGUCGUAACAAGGUUUCCGUAGGU
rnacentral:rRNA from 1 species